GGCCCUGUAGCUUAGUCCGGUAGAGCGCUGCUCUUAUAAGGCAGAAGUCCUGAGUUCAAAUCUCGGCAGGGCCA
rnacentral:tRNA from 1 species